AGACUCUGGAGGGACAGACUGUGGACGUUAGUGUGAAGGAUGGCGAUGUGCUUGUUCUGAUUCCCGACCCUUCUGGCAACUUUUCCCAGCUGAAGGUUGAAGUCCUCAGCAAAGUUGCUCCUUUCUUAUCUUAAGAUCGGUAAGAUGAAGUUGGUGAAGUUGCAGGCUCAUUCAAAUUUGAUCACAAUUGAGGGCGAGCAGGAAACAAUGCGCAAGUUCUGUUUGUGUUUAUUCAAGAGCUGUCUAGCACUGUUCUUGUGUGAUUGCUUCUGGCAGUGUCUAUAUACCGAAUUCUGCUUUAUGUUGUUUAUUCCAGUUAGAAAAGGGUUGUGCUACUGUCAACAAUAUUAACAAUAAGAAGUGAUACUCAUAUCCACACUAAUGUCUGUCAUACAUUGUCAUCAACUUCGAACAAAUCUGGAACAAUGUGCAGCCUUUUGUUUCCGUUCUUUCGCAACCUCUGCUGCAACCGUCCUAGGCAAUUGGUAUUUAGAACUGGAAUUGUGAGGUCUUUUCAUCGCCAUGAAUUCCAGAUUCAAAGGUGGCACAAUUUCUGUUGGAA